AACAGUAAACUUUCAGGGGUCAUUUCUAUAGUUUAUUACUAGAGAACUUUCUCUGAUCCUAUAGAGUACUGGAAACCACAAGGAGGAGAUGUGACAUUCUCACCUGAGUGUGAAGCUGGAACUUGGUGCUGUUCAUUACAGCUGCCAUUGCCAUUGAUGAUCAUUCUUCUCUUCCUUUGGAGGAGUAAGAGGGUGAGGAUGUUAUCUGAGUAGU
rnacentral:snoRNA from 1 species